rnacentral:rRNA from 1 species
AUUGAACGCUGGCGGCGUGCUUAAUACAUGCAAGUCGAACGGAGACUGUAGCAAUACUGUCUUAGUGGCGAACGGGUGAGUAACGCGUUGGUGACCUGCCCCGAAGAGGGGGAUAACAGUCCGAAAGGAUUGCUAAUACCCCAUGUGGUCGUUUGGAUUAGAUGCCUUAUGACUAAACGGAUUUAUUCGCUUCGGGAGGGGCCUGUGUCCCAUCAGCUAGUUGGUGAGGUAAUAGCUUACCAAGGCGAUGACGGGUAGGGGACCUGAGAGGGUGGCCCCCCACAAUGGAACUGAAACACGGUCCAUACACCUACGGGUGGCAGCAGUAGGGAAUAUUGGUAAUCUGGGAAACCGGGAACCAGCAACGCCGCGUGCGCGAUGACGGCCUUCGGGUUGUAAAGCGCUUUUUAAAGGGAUGAGGAAGGACAGUACCUUUAGAAUAAGCCUCGGCUAACUACGUGCCAGCCGCCGCCGUAAAAC